rnacentral:rRNA from 1 species
UAAUACAGAGGGUGCGAACGUUGCUCGGAAUUACUGGGCGUAAAGCGCGUGUAGGCGGUCCGUUAAGUUGGUAGUGAAAUCCCAUGGCUCAACCAUGGAAGUGCUGCCAAAACUGGCGGGCUGGAGUGCCGGAGAGGGUGGCGGAAUUCCCAGUGUAGAGGUGAAAUUCGUAGAUAUUGGGAGGAACACCGGUGGCGAAGGCGGCCACCUGGACGGUAACUGACGCUAAGACGCGAAAGCGUGGGGAGCAAACAGGAUUAGAUACCCUGGUAGUCCACGCUGUAAACGAUGAGCACUAGGUGUUGCGGGUAUUGACCCCUGCAGUGCCGACGCUAACGCAUUAAGUGCUCCGCCUGGGGACUACGGCCGCAAGGCUA